rnacentral:rRNA from 2 species
UUGACACUUUUGGUAACUGGAGCCGCCGGUUUUGUAGGCUUCCAUGUCACGCAGGCUCUUUUGGCGCGUGGCGAACAGGUGAUUGGGAUUGAUAAUCUGAAUGGUUAUUAUAAUCCCCAGCUCAAGCAGGCGCGCCUUGCCCUGCUUGAAGCACAGCCGCAGUUUUCUUUUUAUCGUUGUGAUCUGGGGCAACCAGAAAAUUUGCAAGAGCUGCAGAAGAAAGCCCUCAAUAUAGAGGGUAUCUUUCAUUUUGCAGCGCAGGCAGGUGUGCGUUACUCGCUGAAAGACCCUUACAUCUUUGCGGAUUCCAAUGUGCGUGGGCAUGUGGCGAUGUUGGAAUUUGCGCGUGAACUGCCAAAUUUAAAGCACUUUGUGUAUGCGUCAUCUUCUUCUGUAUAUGGGCGCAACCGCAAACUCCCAUUUUCAGAAACAGAUCCCGUAGAUCAUCCGGGAUCUUUUUACGCAGUUACAAAACGCGCGGCUGAACUGGCGUCAUCUGCCUAUAGCCAUCUGUAUAAUAUUCCUCAGACAGGUUUACGGUUUUUUACUGUGUAUGGUCCGUGGGGUAGGCCAGAUAUGGCCUAUUACAGUUUUGCCCGCGCAAUUACGGAAGGUCGGGAUGUCACUCUUUAUGAGGGCGCAUCUUUAGCGCGGGAUUUCACAUAUAUUGAUGAUGUGGUUGCAGCUGUGCUGGCUGUGUACGAACAAGUGCCCCCUGCGACAGAGCCGCGCGUACUGAAUAUAGGGAACCAUCGCCCGGAACCGGUGAAGUAUUUGGUGGAAUUGCUAGAGCAGGCUUUGGGCCGUAAAGCCGCAAUUCGUUAUCUACCGCGUCCGGAAUCUGAUGUGGAAAAGACAUGGGCCGAUAUUACGUCCAUUCAACAGCUCACCGGGUGGGCACCACAAACCACAUUAGAAGAGGGUAUUCCUGAGUUCAUCCGCUGGUUUCAGGCGUGUGGGCACAAUUUCAGUUAAGCUGAUUCGUAAGGAGUAGAAUCGGGUUUUGUGGAAAAGUUCUUAUUUUUCAGUGUGUUGUAUUUUUUCUGAUUUUGGGUGUUGACGGUGUAAUGGGAUGGGGUGUAGAAGCUGCUUCACCGAGACGGAGUGGUCUUGGCGGGUUUAGAAAGAUCUGCUAGGUUAUUCGGCUCUUUUGGUCUUUGACAAGAGAAUAUGAUAGAGAGGGAUAUGCUGACGGCGUGUCUUUCUGAUCUAGGCUUCGGUUUAGGUUGGGGGAAUUGAUAGGUUUUUAGGAACCUUUUGGACGUUUUGUUGGUAUAUCUUUUGAUAUGCGUUUUGACAGAUGUUUCGAAUUAGCUGGCCUUUUGGUGAGUUAAUUUAUUGAGAAGGGUCCUUAGUUUGUUGUGCUGCUUUGGUGGCAUGAUGAACCUGAGAGUUUGAUCCUGGCUCAGAGCGAACGCUGGCGGCAUGCUUAACACAUGC